rnacentral:tRNA from 1 species
AAGUUCAUGAGUUUGUGUUUGUGGUUUCAUGGUUUUUGUUGGGGCUGUUUGUGGUUAGAUAAGAUGAGA